rnacentral:tRNA from 2 species
GCCCGGUUAGCUCAAUCGGUAGAGCGUGAGACUCUUAGACUUACCACAAAGUGGUUAUCGAGUACGCGAUCUCAAGGUUGCGGGUUCGACCCCCGCAUCGGGCU